rnacentral:miRNA from 1 species
GUGAAAAGAGCACCUGCUGAGACGC